CCUACGGGAGGCAGCAGUGGGGAAUAUUGGACAAUGGGCGAAAGCCUGAUCCAGCAAUGCCGCGUGAGUGAUGAAGGCCUUCGGGUCGUAAAGCUCUUUUACCAGGGAUGAUAAUGACAGUACCUGGAGAAUAAGCUCCGGCUAACUCCGUGCCAGCAGCCGCGGUAAUACGGAGGGAGCUAGCGUUGUUCGGAAUUACUGGGCGUAAAGAGUACGUAGGCGGUUAUUCAAGUCAGAGGUGAAAGCCCGGGGCUCAGCCCCGGAACUGCCUUUGAAACUAGAUAACUAGAGUCUUGGAGAGGUUAGUGGAAUUCCGAGUGUAGAGGUGAAAUUCGUAGAUAUUCGGAAGAACACCAGUGGCGAAGGCGACUAACUGGACAAGUACUGACGCUGAGGUACGAAAGCGUGGGGAGCAAACAGGAUUAGAUACCCUGGUAGUCCACGCCGUAAACGAUGAUAACUAGUUGUUCGGUCACUUGGUGACUGAGUGACGCAGCUAACGCAUUAAGUUAUCCGCCUGGGGAUACGGUCGCAAGAUUAAAACUCAAAAUGAAUUGACCGGNNGAGACGNGCGAGACGACGACGAGGAGAG
rnacentral:rRNA from 1 species